CUCAAGCUGAUGAGUCCUAAAUAGGACGAAACGCGCGUCCUCGAU
rnacentral:hammerhead_ribozyme from 1 species